AUCCGGCAUUGCGAGAGGGCCAUUAUUGGAUUUGAAUAGGGUCGAAAUCCUUGACCAUAGCUGGACCAAUUAUCCUUAUUAACCUGACCUUGCUGAGUUGAAUACAGACUUGAAGUUUUCCCCUUAACUCAAACUCCUUUGCAAUAGAUUUCUGUGUAAAUCUAUUUAUGAGAGCCUGCCAAACUUCAAGUGAGGUA